rnacentral:rRNA from 1 species
ACUCCUACGGGAGGCAGCAGUGAGGAAUAUUGGUCAAUGGGCGAAAGCCUGAACCAGCCAUGUCGCGUGCAGGACGACUGCCCUAUGGGGUUGUAAACUGCUUUUAUAUGGGAAGAAAUGCGAGUACGUGUACUUGUUUGCCGGUACCAUAUGAAUAAGCAUCGGCUAACUCCGUGCCAGCAGCCGCGGUAAUACGGAGGAUGCGAGCGUUAUCCGGAUUCAUUGGGUUUAAAGGGUGCGUAGGCGGAAGUGUAAGUCAGGGGUGAAAGUUUGCAGCUCAACUGUAAAAUUGCCUUUGAUACUGCAUUUCUUGAGUACAUUUGAGGUAGGCGGAAUGUGUUGUGUAGCGGUGAAAUGCUUAGAUAUAACACAGAACACCGAUUGCGAAGGCAGCUUACUAAACUGUAACUGACGCUGAUGCACGAAAGCGUGGGAUCGAACAGGAUUAGAUACCCCUGGUAGCGACUGA